GACGUAGGGUGCAAGCGUUAUCCGGAUUUACUGGGCGUAAAGCGUGCGCAGGCGGUUUGUUAAGUCCGUUGUGAAAGCCCCGAGCUCAACUUGGGAAUUGCAGUGGAUACUGGCAGGCUGGAGUACGGUAGAGGAAGGUGGAAUUCCCGGUGUAGCAGUGAAAUGCGUAGAUAUCGGGAGGAACACCAGUGGCGAAGGCGGCCUUCUGGACCAGUACUGACGCUCAUGCACGAAAGCGUGGGGAGCAAACAGG
rnacentral:rRNA from 1 species